CACAAAUUCCAGCUACAAGGCAGAAACAUAAAAGUUUCACAGUGUUCACUGGAAAACCAUUUCUAGACUUCCUCUGCUCUCUGAGAAUUCAGUUGAAGAUGAGGUCAUCCUCCUCCACUUUGAGGAAGGGAAGAGGAAGGAAUGCUGUCAGGAACUUCAGCUCUCACAGCUCCUGCCUAAAUACCAGACAGAGUGUGGAUGGCCUGGAUCUUAAGGAGUAGAAACUGUUCAGAUGCCCUUCAGCAAGUAAACAGGUGCAGUCAGUGCUAGUCUUUUCAUCCUUCCAUACUAUCCACAACAGUUCAGAGAGGUCUUGGGAGCACAGACUAUGUAGAAGACAGCGCUGACAUGGUAGUUAACAGCAAUAGCUGUAAGACAAAAAU
ensembl:lncRNA